rnacentral:rRNA from 1 species
UACGUAGGGUGCGAGCGUUAAUCGGAAUUACUGGGCGUAAAGCGUGCGCAGGCGGUUUUUGUAAGACAGGCGUGAAAUCCCCCGAGCUCAACUUGGGAAUUGCGCUUGGGACUGCAAGGCUAGAGUGUGUCAGAGGGGGGGUAGAAUUCCACGUGUAGCAGUGAAAUGCGUAGAGAUCCGGAGGAACACCAGAGGCGAAAGCGGCGCUCUGGGCUGCACCUGACGCUGAACUGCGAAAGCCAGGGGAGCGAACGGG